rnacentral:rRNA from 1 species
UAGGGAAUCUUCCACAAUGGACGCAAGUCUGAUGGAGCAACGCCGCGUGAGUGAAGAAGGCUUUCGGGUCGUAAAACUCUGUUAUUGAAGAAGAACGUGUGUGACAGUAACUGGUCAUGCAGUGACGGUAUUCAAUCAGAAAGUCACGGCUAACUACGUGCCAGCAGCCGCGGUAAUACGUAGGUGGCAAGCGUUGUCCGGAUUUAUUGGGCGUAAAGCGAGUGCAGGCGGUCUUUUAAGUCUGAUGUGAAAGCCUUCGGCUUAACCGAAGAAGGGCAUCGGAAACUGGGAGACUUGAGUGCAGAAGAGGAGAGUGGAACUCCAUGUGUAGCGGUGAAAUGCGUAGAUAUAUGGAAGAACACCAGUGGCGAAGGCGGCUCUCUGGUCUGUAACUGACGCUGAGGCUCGAAAGCGUGGGU